UAUAUUAACGAGGCGCUGCUGCUAGUUCAUUCUCUGUAGGUCGUGAACGAUGUGGAUGCCACUGAGACUGAUGUGUAGAUUUGCGCAAAUGGCUGGCCUUCAUGUUUUCCAUGUUUGUUUAGUCUGUGAUUCUGUCAGACCCUGCAUUAUAUGUGUCGGAACUUGACUUGAAAAGUCGAUAUAGGCUGUAUUAGACCUAGGGGUUUUGAGUUAGCAUGGAGUUUGGGUGACACGUGGUGUGCAACCAAAUCAGCCUAAGCGGACCGGACACUGAUGAUUAUAAACUCUUAUGACCGUCUUGCGGAGAUGAGUUUGUCCGAAGGUCACGAGCGGUAACUGCGGCCAAACGAUGCGUCUAGGUGUGGGUACUUCAAAUCGGACCGAACUUUUUUGACUGUCAUGCGGAGAUGAGUUUGUCCGAAGGUCACUAGCGGGAACUGCGGCCAAACGAAGUGCGCCAAAUAUAGGUGGGUGCAGCAUAGAUGCACAUAUGCAGAAGAGUAGCCUUUGGCUGUCUUGCGGAGAUGAGUUUGUCCGAAGGUCACGAGCAGGAACUGCGACCUAACCAAGUGCGCCAAAUAUAGUUGGGUGCAGCAUCUCGCACAUAUGCAGAAGAGUAGCCUUUGACUGUCUUGCUGAGAUGAGUUUGUCCGAAGGUCACGACCCUGAACUGCGGCCAAAUGUGCCUAGGUGAGGGUCACAGUAAGGAAAGGAAGAUGACAAAUAUCACUCGCAGGUGAGGUCUUAACGUUUUCCACUCCGUGUGCGCGUGAGGGUCACAAUAAGGAAGAUGUGAAGCAUCACUCAGGUGAGGUCUUGGCAUUGUCUUUCAAUGGAUGGUUUGGUGUACACGUUUGCAAUAAAAUUAAAUCAAAUGAA